GUGCUGUAACCCUAAAGUGUGCUGUGACUUUAAGAGUGCUGUGAGUGAUAUGUAACCAUAGUAACCAUAAGAUAUAGAAGUAGAACCUUAAGCGGUGUGGAACUGAUAAGGAUGCACCCCGAACUGGACAGGGCGUGGUCCAAAAUGGACAGUGUGAUACGUCUGAACCAAUACCGCAAACGCCCAGUUAGAAUAGUAUAAAAGGAGCUGAAGACCUCAAGCAAGUCGACAAUCCGUCCCACGGACCAGUCUACUAGUCAGUCUGUUGAUCUGACUACCGACAGGGACACAUGCACCUUAUCCCGCUGGAAGGAGCAUCGCCGCCCACCAGACGAGACCAGAGGACGAGGCCAGCGGAGAGACGGACAGCCUAGCGCCGACUGGACGCCCUUCGUCUAUGGAUCGGACGCUCUGACCCGACGGGAGGAAACGUCGCGCUCCCAUAAGGACUUGCGCAGUACAGGCUUCCUGAGCUGCGCACACAGUGGAGGCUUUACGAAUACCUGAGGGAUUAUCCUGAGGCACUCUGGCUUCCUGGAUUAUAUAGGAGUUCCAUGAGGACAGCAACCAUAUCAUUUUCAUCAUUCAAGCCUGAACUGCUCAUAAUAGCUGCUUUAGAAUUACUUCCUGAAUGAUGAAUGGCACUGAGACUGCAAGGAAGCAGAGUCAGAAGUUCCAUGGUGCCAGAUCCAGAGGACCUGGUAAUAAUGUUUGUGCGCCUGCCUUUCCAUUGGCUGGCACUCUGCAGCAUCAUUCACCGUAUUUUUGACCACACCUUGUAAAGACAUGAAACAAGACUUCCAGACCUGCUUCAGGAAAUGGCAAGAAUGAUGGGAUAAAUAUGUUCCAAGUGAAGGGGAGUACUUUGAGAAGGAUUAGUGGCAACGCAUCUUUUACUGAAAUACCUUUAAAAACGUAAACACUCACUGCAUUUUUAGGUCACCCCUUGUAUCUGUGCAAAGCACUACUUUGAACUGCAGUUCCAAGUUCUAAGAGCAUAGAGAAAGUGUCUCCCCAAAGAACUUGUUCAUGCAUGCAUUCAUUUAAAGAAUAAAUUUGAAAACCGGAACUUGUUCUUUCGAAUCCCAGACCAAUUUUAUAACAGUGCUGAGCUUCCAUUUACCACUGCACAUGCAAACUAGUUGUGCAUAAGCAAUGAAGCACUAACUCAAUUUCAACUCUGUCAAAUACUCACUUCAUGUUUAAUCCUUUAUCAUUCAUUUCUACAUCUGCUUCACUGGUUGCUGCGGAGUGGGGUAGGGAUGUUGCAAAUGCACAAUGUGUGGUAUUUCUGGUUCUUUCAUGUCCUGAUUACUUCUCAAAAAACCUAGCCACUCAAUCUCUCCAACAACACAUUUAAAAGGUAAUGUGGAGAUUUCCAAGCACAGAAUAUUCCUUCUUUAACACACACACCCAAAAGUUGCAAAUAUCUAAGCAUGCGCUUUAUGAUCCUGUCCACUA